CACCAUAAUGUCUCAAAUGACACAGCUCCUUAAUGAAAGAGUAACCUGCUGACUGAUUAAUUCCAUAAUCUUUGUCAUUCACACCAUGAGAAACCCAGAAAAGAAUUAUUAAUUACUUCUAGUCCAAAUUGGGAGACAAAUUCUGGCAGCCCUAGUAGGAGCCCACCACUUUCAGGCAGACUGAUGGUGUCUUCUGGGGUCACUCUAUCAGCACGUGGAACCUUCUUAGUCAAGGAUGCUACUGCUACUGCCAAUUAAGCUUCGCUUAUUGGCUGUGGCUCUAGACCUUUGGCUGAACUUCAAAAUGUCACUGACAAGACUGAAACUGCCGAAUCACUCAGAUGUUCUUGUGAUCAAUUCUCCUCUUAGAUGACAACCAAACUUUGAGAAUAUGUAUCCCUUGUAAGGCUUCACGACCAGCCUUGAUUUCUCUCUCUCUCACAGCCAAUGUAUUGAACGAGAUCCAAGAACAGAGGUGGCCUCAACCAUGAAAAGAAAUGCAUGAAAACAGAGCACAAAGGGAAACAAAUAAAAAGGUCCUCAAAGGAAGAUUCACAUCAUGAGUCAUCAGUGAACCUUCCUAUUAGGUGAGGAAAGACAGCAUCAAAUGCAAAUAUUGGUGGGGUUCUCGGACAUUUCAUAGUCACAAAUAGAAACAGAACAUAUUAAGAUUGACAAUGGCAGGUAUGAAUUCAGGAUUAUAUCUCAACAAGCAACAAGUGGCCUUCAUUAUCCACCCCAAGCAAAACAACACACAUCCAAAUAUCAACAAGCAAUGCAGAGGGAUAAUAAGAAUCCAAACCAAACAAGAAAUCAGCUGCAUUCAUACCUGAGAGAACCUUUUUCCGGUAAGGCUCUGUUCUGCUACAAACACCUCAAGUUCCCCUUUAAAAUCAACAAAACUAAUGAGACAGCAGCACCUCUUCUACUCUCCAAACACACAGCUCUGCCCCCUUGCUCUCUCGCCUCAAACUUGCCUCUCUUGCCUCCUGCAGCCCGCCUGCUCUCCCAAAA
rnacentral:lncRNA from 1 species